rnacentral:SRP_RNA from 1 species
GCUUGGUGCAGUGGUGUGUGCCUGUAGUCCCAGCUACUUGGAAGGCUGGGACGGGAGGAUCACUCGGGCCCAGGAGUUCCAGACUGUAGUGCGUUAUGCUGAUUGGGUGUCUGCGCUAAGUUCCUGGUCCUCCCAGGAAUGGAGGACCACCAGGUUGCCUUAGGAAGUGUGAACCACCUCAGCUUGGACACAGAGCAGGUCAAAACACCUCUGCUGAUCAGUAGUGUGAUUAUGCCUGUGAACAGCCACUGUACGCCAGCCUAGGCGAUAGCAAGACCCUGUCUCU